UAAAUUCCAUCUAAAGCUAAAUAUUGGCGAGAGACCGAUAGCGAACAAGUACCGUGAGGGAAAGAUGAAAAGCACUUUGGAAAGAGAGUUAACAGUACGUGAAAUUGUUGGAAGGGAAACGCUUGAAGUCAGACUUGCUUGCCGGAGCUUGCUUCGGUUUGCAGGCCAGCAUCAGUUUUCCGGGGUGGAUAAUGGCGGUUAGAAGGUAGCAGCUUCAGCUGUGUUAUAGCUUUCCGCUGGAUACAUCCUGGGGGACUGAGGAACGCAGCGUGCUUUUAGCGGGGGUUUCGACCUCUUCACGCUUAGGAUGCUGGUGUAAUGGCUUUAAACGAC
rnacentral:rRNA from 1 species